rnacentral:rRNA from 1 species
GACGAACGCUGGCGGCGUGCUUAACACAUGCAAGUCGAACGGUAAGGCCCUUCGGGGUACACGAGUGGCGAAGGGGCGGGUAACACGGGGGUAAGUGGCCAUGCACCUCGGGAUAAGCCUGGGACACUGGGACUAAUACCGGAAAUUCAGAUCAUGCUGCAUGGUGGGGGGUGGAAAGUUUUUCGGUGCAGGAUGAGCCCGCGGCCGAUCAGCUCGCUGGUGGGGUACUGGCUUACAAGGGCGACGACGGGUAGCCGGCCGGGGAGGGUGAGCGGCCACACUGGGCCUGCGACACGGCCCAGACUCCUACGUGAGGCAGCAGUGGGGAAUAUUGCACAAUGGGCGCAAGCCUGAUGCAGCGACGCCGCGUGCGUGAUGACGGUCUUCGGGUUGUAAACCCCUUUCUGUAGGGACGAAGCGCAAGUGACGGUACCUGCAGAAGAAGCACCGGCCAACUACGUG